UACGUAGGUGGCAAGCGUUGUCCGGAUUUACUGGGCGUAAAGGGCGUGCAGGCGGUUUGUUAAGUGCAGGGUGAAAGCUCCCGGCUCAACUGGGAGAGGUCCUUGCAUACUGGCAAACUCGAGGGAGGCAGAGGAAAGUGGAAUUCCCGGUGUAGUGGUGAUAUGCGUAGAUAUCGGGAGGAACACCGGUGGCGAAGGCGGCCAGCUGGGCCGACCCUGACGCUGAGGCGCGAAGGCGUGGGGAGCGAACGGG
rnacentral:rRNA from 1 species